rnacentral:rRNA from 1 species
CAACUUGAGAGUUUGAUCCUGGCUCAGAGCGAACGCUGGCGGCAGGCCUAACACAUGCAAGUCGAGCGCCGUAGCAAUACGGAGCGGCAGACGGGAGAGUAACACGUGGGAACGUGCCCUUCAGUUCGGAACAACCCAGGGAAACUUGGGCUAAUACCG